CCACUGUGCCACGGGAGCUCACGACGAGCUGAGAAGGGGAUGGACCCCGACCGUUGAACCUGAACCGGACCAUACCGGCGUAGGAAGGCUUCUUCCCUCGUGG
rnacentral:ncRNA from 2 species